UCUCCGUGGGUGAACCAGCGGAGGGAUCAUUACAGAGUUGCAAAACUCCCAAACCAUUGUGAACGUUACCUAUCCCGUUGCUUCGGCGGGCGGCCCGGGCCCCGCGCCCGGCGCCCCCCGGCCCCCCGUGGGCGCCCGCCGGAGGUAAACCAAACCCUUGAAUUGCAUGGCCUCUCUGAGUCUUCUAUACUGAAUAAGUCAAAACUUUCAACAACGGAUCUCUUGGUUCUG
rnacentral:misc_RNA from 1 species